UAAGGUAUAGUUAAUCUGCCCUACACAAGAGGACAACAGUUGGAAACGACUGCUAAUACUCUAUACUCCUGCUUAACACAAGUUGAGUAGGGAAAGUUUUUCGGUGUAGGAUGAGACUAUAUAGUAUCAGCUAGUUGGUAAGGUAAUGGCUUACCAAGGCUAUGACGCUUAACUGGUCUGAGAGGAUGAUCAGUCACACUGGAACUGAGACACGGUCCAGACUCCUACGGGAGGCAGCAGUAGGGAAUAUUGCGCAAUGGGGGAAACCCUGACGCAGCAACGCCGCGUGGAGGAUGACACUUUUCGGAGCGUAAACUCCUUUUCUUAGGGAAGAAUUCUGACGGUACCUAAGGAAUAAGCACCGGCUAACUCCGUGCCAGCAGCCGCGGUAAUACGGAGGGUGCAAGCGUUACUCGGAAUCACUGGGCGUAAAGGGCGCGUAGGCGGAUUAUCAAGUCUCUUGUGAAAUCUAAUGGCUUAACCAUUAAACUGCUUGGGAAACUGAUAGUCUAGAGUGAGGGAGAGGCAGAUGGAAUUGGUGGUGUAGGGGUAAAAUCCGUAGAUAUCACCAAGAAUACCCAUUGCGAAGGCGAUCUGCUGGAACUCAACUGACGCUAAGGCGCGAAAGCGUGGGGAGCAAACAGGAUUAGAUACCCUGGUAGUCCACGCCCUAAACGAUGUACACUAGUUGUUGGGGUGCUAGUCAUCUCAGUAAUGCAGCUAACGCAUUAAGUGUACCGCCUGGGGAGUACGGUCGCAAGAUUAAAACUCAAAGGAAUAGACGGGGACCCGCACAAGCGGUGGAGCAUGUGGUUUAAUUCGAAGAUACGCGAAGAACCUUACCUGGGCUUGAUAUCCUAAGAACCUUUUAGAGAUAAGAGGGUGCUAGCUUGCUAGAACUUAGAGACAGGUGCUGCACGGCUGUCGUCAGCUCGUGUCGUGAGAUGUUGGGUUAAGUCCCGCAACGAGCGCAACCCACGUAUUUAGUUGCUAACGGUUCGGCCGAGCACUCUAAAUAGACUGCCUUCGUAAGGAGGAGGAAGGUGUGGACGACGUCAAGUCAUCAUGGCCCUUAUGCCCAGGGCGACACACGUGCUACAAUGGCAUAUACAAUGAGACGCAAUACCGCGAGGUGGAGCAAAUCUAUAAAAUAUGUCCCAGUUCGGAUUGUUCUCUGCAACUCGAGAGCAUGAAGCCGGAAUCGCUAGU
rnacentral:rRNA from 1 species